rnacentral:rRNA from 1 species
CUACGGGCGGCUCCAGUGGGGAAUAUUGCACAAUGGGGGAAACCCUGAUGCAGCAACGCCGCGUGAGUGAUGAAGGUCUUCGGAUUGUAAAGCUCUGUCUUUUGGGACGAUAAUGACGGUACCAAAGGAGGAAGCCACGGCUAACUACGUGCCAGCAGCCGCGGUAAUACGUAGGUGGCAAGCGUUGUCCGGAUUUACUGGGCGUAAAGGAUGCGUAGGUGGAUACUUAAGUCAGAUGUGAAAUCCCCGAGCUUAACUUGGGGGCUGCAUUUGAAACUGGGUAUCUGGAGUGCAGGAGAGGAAAGCGGAAUUCCUAGUGUAGCGGUGAAAUGCGUAGAGAUUAGGAAGAACACCAGUGGCGAAGGCGGCUUUCUGGACUGUAACUGACACUGAGGCAUGAAAGCGUGGGGAGCAAACAGGAUUAGAUACCCCCGUAGUC